CCAGAUGCAGGAGACACAGUGAAGAGUGACAAACAGCUCCUGCCUCUGGGGCCUCACAGGCCACCCCAAUACCUAUCACCCAGCUUUCCAGAUUCACCACAAAGCAGCCUACUCUGGGAAGCCUUCUCUGCCAAGUUCAAGUAUCUCCUUCUCCAGGAAGACUUCCCAGACCUUCCCUGCCCGCCCACCUCACCUCUCCUCUGAGCUUUGAGGUCCAUGCUACACCUGGGCUGGAUUAUAUGCUGUUUUGGCUGCUCAGCAGCUCCCUGUGGGCUAGUGACUCAGUGGGCACGUCUCAGGGCUUUACUGGGCAGCUAUCCACCCUAUUCUGUGCCAGGACCAAAGCUUCCAGCAGGCUCUCUGCAGAGCCUGAGACCCAGAGACACUUAAGACUUCCUGACUCAAGAGAAUCUCCUUGUCCCAUUGAAAAGAUACUGGGGUGACCCUGCCUCCUAGCAUGCUAGGGGCACCAACCUGAUGGCAGAGCAGCUCCUUGGCCCAUGGCUGCCCCAGAGACCUAGGGAGCCACCAUCAGAGUUUGGAUUUGGGACAAUUGGACACAACCCAGG